CAGCACCUCAAGUGGUCAGGAUGAUUAUUGGGCCUAAAGCAUCCGUAGCCGGCUCUGUAAGUUUUCGGUUAAAUCUGUAUGCUCAACAUACAGGCUGCCGGGAAUACUGCAGAGCUAGGGAGUGGGAGAGGUAGACGGUACUCGGUAGGAAGGGGUAAAAUCCUUUGAUCUAUUGAUGACCGCCUGUGGCGAAGGCGGUCUACCAGAACACGUCCGACGGUGAGGGAUGAAAGCUGGGGGAGCAAACCGGAUUAGAUACCCGAGUAGUCC
rnacentral:rRNA from 1 species